AGUGAUGAAGGUCUUCGGAUUGUAAAGCUCUGUUAAUCGGGACGAAAGAGUUCUGUGUGAAUAAUGCAGAAAAGUGACGGUACCGGAAUAGAAAGCCACGGCUAACUACGUGCCAGCAGCCGCGGUAAUACGUAGGUGGCAAGCGUUGUCCGGAAUUAUUGGGCGUAAAGCGCGCGCAGGCGGCCUAUCCAGUCUGUCUUAAAAGUUCGGGGCUCAACCCCGUGAUGGGAUGGAAACUAGUAGGCUAGAGUAUCGGAGAGGAAAGCGGAAUUCCUAGU
rnacentral:rRNA from 1 species